UACGUAGGGGGCAAGCGUUGUCCGGAAUCAUUGGGCGUAAAGCGCGUGUAGGCGGCUCGGUAAGUCCGCUCUGAAAGUCCAGGGCUCAACCCUGGGAUGCGGGUGGAUACUGCCGGGCUCGAGUCCGGAAGAGGCGAGUGGAAUUCCCGGUGUGGCGGUGAAAUGCGCAGAUAUCGGGAGGAACACCAAUGGCGAAGGCAGCUCGCUGGGACGUGACUGACGCUGAGACGCGAAAGCGUGGGGAGCAAACAGG
rnacentral:rRNA from 1 species